rnacentral:lncRNA from 1 species
CUCAGCUGCCUGCCACCCAAUUCCAUGAUGCUUGAGUUGCUUGAACUCAAAUCUUAUCGUAUAAAAGAGGCACGAAAUCUGCUGAUCUCAGUAGAAAGCCCCUGAAAGGAAAAUGGGACCUAAUGAAAAUCUGUGCUCUCUGCAAAAGGCGCAGCCUGCUGGAGGUGGGAGGAGCCUUGGACUGAGACCUUGGGAUGACAGUGAAUUAUUUAGCUUCUCUGAGCCUCAGGCAUUACUCUUAAGGUAGGGGCAAUGAUGCCUGCUCUGGGCUACUGCGAAAAACAGAAGGUAUGAAAGUGCUUUGAAAAUGUGAUGUGCCAUAAAGAGAAGACAUGAUUAACGUGAGCCUGGCACUGUGUACUUGGUGGAACUUCAAGAAGGACAAAUGAAUCAAAUAACAAGAGACCAGCCUUUGCAAGCAUUCACCCAAGGUGGUAAAUGGAGAGUUAACCUAACAGCUUUCAAUAUGGCCUCUGGCUGCUUAGAGAACAAACUGUUGUUGGACAUAACUGAAUAUUUAUGGGCAGGGCACUCCUGAUUCUUCCCACAGUCCAAAUAUCCUCCAGUAAGGAAGAGACCUCAGGAGAGUUGUAUCUCUAAGGAGGUCUUAUGUUUGAUAGAUUUAUUGGUUCGUUGGUUGUUGUGUGUUUGUUUUUAACAUUAAAGAAAGGUGAUCACAGACUUUCCAUAGAACAGCUUCUCAAACUGGAAUGGGCACACGAAUUACCCAGAGAACUUGUUAAAAUAUAGAUUCUGAUUCUGCAGGUCUGGGGUGGGGCUGACAUUCUAUCUUUCUGACAAGCUCCAGGGUGAUGACCAUUCUGCAGGUCCACAGACUAUGCUUGAAGUAGCUCAACUGUAAAAGGACAUUUGAGAGAAGCCUAGAAUAAUCUAAGAUAUUGAGUAGUUUAAGAAUAGAAAGGACCGUAAUUUAAAACUCUAAAUCUCUGUAUGAAGACAGUGAGCCCUAGGAUUAGCUGACUUGUUCAGCAUCAGCAGAUCUUUCACUGCCCACAAAAUCAGCCCUCCACCAGUCUUUCUAUCAUGCACACGGCCCUUUUUCCCUCAGCCUUAUUUCCCUGUCUUUCUUUCUGCUCCUCUUGAAAGUAAAGGAGGGAGGAAGGAAGAAAUUAAUAUGAAUGUGGCACAUAAAAUAUAUCCUAGCUAUGAAUUAUGGAAAAUCUCUUACCUAAGGAGAUAAAGGAAGCAAAGAGGAUAAGUUUCUGGGGGGAGGGGGGUAGCUAACCACAUCCCAGUACUUAAUGUCCCACAGUGGUAUUCAACUUAAUGUGAUGAGUGCUUUGUUUCUAAGGGUAGUCUCUGGUGCCUAUGCACAGACCAGUAGACAAAGCUAAACCCCCAUUUUAGUCUGCAUUACCUAUAAGAGGGCAUAUUUCCCGAAGCACCAGAUACCUAACUCACUCGUCUCAUUAGGGCCCUCAGAAGAAAAAUCUCUAAAUCCAAGGAAGGGGGAAAUAAAAGUAAAACAUUUGAAACUGAAGAUUAUCUCCUUCUAUUCUUGGACUAUCUUCUAAAAGGGAAACGAGGGAAAAGUACAAUUGAACUUCAGCUCUGCUCCCAAUCACACAAAUUUAUGUCAUGUUUUAAAAGCUUCAUUAAAGUUUCAGUUUCUUUUGAUGCCAAUUCUCUAACCAGAAGCAUUAAAUUGGGAAUCAUUUAUUUGCAUUAUCUCUUUCUGUCUCACGGGGUUUCACUUAAGAAUAUGAACUAAACCAAAGGGAAGGAAACUGAAAAAGUAAAAAGAAUUGCUUUUGAAAAAAACUAUUAAAACUCGGCAAAUACUCCAGGAUAAACACACGAUUUGCUGUUUUAGAGAUUUGCUACGUUUCCGCCCACAAUUUGACUGCAAAUGGAGUAUUUGAGAAAAAGUUUGGCUCCAAAUAAGGUUUAACACAUACAAGGAAAUAUUUGUUCCCUAGUGCUUCUAUUAUGCCAGUAAAUAUUGAAUAGCAAUGGGUACACUUCACACCAUGAAAAUUUUCCACUUCAGUCAGCACUGUACUCAGGGCCUUUCCCAGUUUCAGCAUUAAAGUUUCACAAGAAAAUGUGCCAACAAUGAUUGUGCUGCUGGAACUCCACAGAACUCUCCUAGGUUAUUUGUAUUUCAUUAUUAAUAUGUAUUUGUAAACACCCUUGCUAAGAUCAGAGCCCUAGCAUAAUUAAGAUCAAAAUACCCUAGCCUUAUUUGGGCACAACCCCCUUUCACUGGGGACUUUCUACACAAGAUAAAUAAUGAGAUAGAUUUAAGGGUUCAGAAUGUUUUUGUUAGACCUAAACAGCUUCUUUCAGUUUGCUGAGGUGCCAUUAACUAAAUAACCACCUACAGAGAUCAGUGUGAUACCUACGAGCCCACAGCAUUAAUGUAACCUUAAAGAUUUACCCUCCUCC